rfam:Brassica oleracea var. oleracea cultivar TO1000 chromosome C4, whole genome shotgun sequence
GGAAUAUAAGAACCCGUCUUUUAACUUUUAACUAAAAAAGCUAAGAACCGGUUCUUAAAUAAGAGUUUUAAGAGCCGGUUUUUAACUUUUUUAAGUUAAAAAUUAAGAUACGGGUUCUUAUAUUCC